AACUCCACAGUGGAAGCAAAUGCCUGCCGCCCACAUGAAGAUGUGUGAAGAUGACUUGGGGAGGGGGAGCCGACAGCAUUUCCAUGGUAACCUCAAGCAUCCCUGUGAAGUCAUCAUUGUGCUCUUCUGACCUAUUCAAACCCUGGCAACCAGGGCUGUUUAUCUCUAGGGAUUGAGUUCAAGAUCUAAAAAUGUGAAAGACCUAAACUGAAAUGAAUAGGCACCUCACUUGCUAAGAAGGUCACUGCUGUCUGGGACGGAAGCAGUAUGAAAUAGACAAGAAACCCUGUGGACUCAGAUGGCUGUGUUCUUCCUGUGGGAACUUGGGUACAGUAUGAACUCUCUGGUCCUCAGGUUCCUUCUUCA
rnacentral:lncRNA from 10 species